CCUACGGGAGGCAGCAGUGGGGAAUUUUGGACAAUGGGCGCAAGCCUGAUCCAGCCAUGCCGCGUGUGGGAAGAAGGCCUUCGGGUUGUAAACCACUUUUGUCAGGGAAGAAACGGCUUUUUCUAAUACAGAGAGCUAAUGACGGUACCUGAAGAAUAAGCACCGGCUAACUACGUGCCAGCAGCCGCGGUAAUACGUAGGGUGCAAGCGUUAAUCGGAAUUACUGGGCGUAAAGCGUGCGCAGGCGGCUUUGCAAGACAGAUGUGAAAUCCCCGGGCUCAACCUGGGAACUGCAUUUGUGACUGCAUGGCUAGAGUACGGUAGAGGGGGGAUGGAAUUCCGCGUGUAGCAGUGAAAUGCGUAGAUAUGCGGAGGAACACCGAUGGCGAAGGCAAUCCCCUGGACCUGUACUGACGCUCAUGCACGGAAGCGUGGGGAGCAAACAGGAUUAGAUACCCUGGUAGUCCACGCCCUAAACGAUGUCAACUGGUUGUUGGACGGCUUGCUGUUCAGUAACGAGCUAACGCGUGAGUUGACCGCCUGGGGAGUCGGCGCAAGGUUGAAACUCAAGGAUUGAGGCUUGNGNGNGCGAGCGACGACGAGGAGGAGG
rnacentral:rRNA from 1 species